rnacentral:rRNA from 1 species
CCUACGGGGGGCAGCAGUGGGGAAUAUUGCACAAUGGGGGGAACCCUGAUGCAGCCAUGCCGCGUGAAUGAAGAAGGCCUUCGGGUUGUAAAGUUCUUUCGGUAGCGAGGAAGGCAUUUAGUUUAAUAGACUAGGUGAUUGACGUUAACUACAGAAGAAGCACCGGCUAACUCCGUGCCAGCAGCCGCGGUAAUACGGGGGGUGCGAGCGUUAAUCGGAAUAACUGGGCGUAAAGGGCACGCAGGCGGUGACUUAAGUGAGAUGUGAAAGCCCCGGGCUUAACCUGGGAAUUGCAUUUCAUACUGGGUCGCUAGAGUACUUUAGGGAGGGGUAGAAUUCCACGUGUAGCGGUGAAAUGCGUAGAGAUGUGGAGGAAUACCGAAGGCGAAGGCAGCCCCUUGGGAAUGUACUGACGCUCAUGUGCGAAAGCGUGGGGAGCAAACAGGAUUAGAUACCCGGGUAGUC